rnacentral:rRNA from 1 species
CAGUCGCCGCGGUAAUACAGAGGAUGCAAGCGUUAUCCGGAAUGAUUGGGCGUAAAGCGUCUGUAGGUGGCUUUUCAAGUCCGCCGUCAAAUCCCAGGGCUCAACCCUGGACAGGCGGUGGAAACUACCAAGCUAGAGUACGGUAGGGGCAGAGGGAAUUUCCGGUGGAGCGGUGAAAUGCGUUGAGAUCGAAAAGAACACCAACGACGAAAGCACUCUGCUGGGUCGACACUGACACUGAGAGACGAAAGCUAGGGGAGCAAAUGGGAUUAGAUACCCGCGUAGUCCCUGUCUCUUAUAA